rnacentral:rRNA from 1 species
AGCAGCCGCGGUAAUUCCAGCUCCAAUAGCGUAUAUUAAAGUUGUUGCAGUUAAAAAGCUCGUAGUUGAAUUUCGGGAUCAAGGAAUCGGUCAUGCCUUGGUAUGUACUGGUUUUAUUGGUUCUCACCUUCUAAAGAACCAUAAUGUCAUUUAUUUGAUGUUAUGGGGAAUUAGGACUGUUACCUUGAAAAAUUAGAGUGUUUAAAGCAAGCUUACGCUUGAAUACAUUAGCAUGGAAUAAUGAAAUAGGACAUCAGAUUCUAUUUUGUUGGUUUCUAGGAUCGAUGUAAUGAUUAAUAGGGAUAGUUGGGGGCAUUAGUAUUCAAUUGUCAGAGGUGAAAUUCUUGGAUUUAUUGAAGACUAACUACUGCGAAAGCAUUUGCCAAGGAUGUUUUCAUUAAUCAAGAGCGAAAGUUAGGGGAUCGAAGACGAUCAGAUACCGUCGUAGUC